rnacentral:rRNA from 1 species
AUGGCUGCUGAACAGGAUGAAGAGGAGCACUGGAGGAGGACCAUGGCAGCGGUGAGACCCAACCCGUCGCGGCGCCUAGUGAGCAGGCGCACGGGCACACCAGUAAAGCACAUCACAGCGGCGGCCGUGUCCUCCAUCUCGAUGCUUCAGCCGGGCGUCACCAUGCAGUCACACAACGACCUGCACUCCAUGAUAACCUCUCGAUUCCGCCGCCCCCGAAUCUCACGGCGUCGAGGUGGCCAUGGGAGGGCUCGCCGGAGUGGUUUAGGAGAGGAUCAGGGGGUUGUGGAGAUCAGGGUGGAGGUGGUUUGGAGAGGUUCGGGGGUGAGGGCGGGUCUGGAUAGGAUGGAGACCGUGAAAGAAAACCAAAAACAUAGGUGA